GCUCCUAACGUUUAUGAUUGUGUUUGAAUUUAGGUCGCAUUCAAGCACUCACCAAAUUUUCUUCCUCAAUAUGUGAAACCAAUGGAGUCGUAACCCAGGUAGAUGAAACCAUCGCGGUCAUUCAGUUACCUGACCAAUAUAUUGCUUUUGAAAUCUCACUCGAGAUUCGGUAUUCAUUCCUGAAAUUAACAAAUGAUUAAUGGGCACUUUGAAGCAAGUGGAUCCUAAAAGACUAACCUCGUAGCUCACUCUGAUCAAUCGGUUCAAGCAUUGACAAACCCGUGUAGACAAGGGCGAACACUCAUCGUUUGCGGCUAGGACUAUAUUACACCCCGUACUUUCAUGUUAGAAUGCGCCGUAAGUGAAUCAAUAUGAGCCGGAGAGGUUAAGGGCCUUUACAAAGAUAACGGUAUGUUAAAACAAAUGUUAAGAAGGAAUCGUGAGGGUUGGAGUUUGGACGAAUCGAAGAUGUUAUAACCCGCACUUUCGCGGUAAAAACAAGGAGUGCUUAAUAUGCUAAGGAGGUCAUUUUUUAAGGUGUUUGAAAUGCUUAAUAGUCAUAUGUUAUGUUUUGAAGGUCAAGCGAGUUGUAAAACAAAAGUCGGCAAAAGUUGUCACAAGUUACGUUCAUAAGUUUACCGAAAAUUUGGGUCAGAUGUCACUGAGCUUUUCUCCCAAUAUGCUUGGAGAAAUGGAGUGAUCCACGCACCAUAUUGAAGGUCUACGAGUCUAGUUUCCAACGCGUUAUACCGUUCGUCGAUAUGAUAUCGGAGUAGAGAGAUAUUCACAUUUUAGCGAGACUGCGCAUGCAGCCCCUUUAGGACCCACUUUAGGCGGUGGAACUUUCUAAAAGUGUAUAAAGCGGUGGGACUUGAUCCUUUCGUCAUUUCUCACUCAUUUCAGAUCCUAUGCAUCCCAAAAUUCUCUCCAAAAUGUUUCAUAUCACCAAAGAGCAAAAUCAAAGGUAAACAACUCAAAUCAAACGCCGAAAAUCCCGUGGUGCUACUGAGUUUCUUGUUCUUCUUGUGUUUGCUGAUUUUGGACUUGUUCAAGCUCAUGUGGAGAGUUGUUCUAAGUGUAAUAAGAUUAAGGUACGACGAGUUGAGCUUAUCGUGGUUGUUGGGCAGAUUAUUUCGCAAGGCAUGCAAAGGCCAUUCCCUUCCUAUCAUUGGCAUGAAUACUACUAAGAAAGAGUCCAUUAAACGUACGAGGAAAGAGUAUAACAUAGAGUUCUCAUAUUAAUAGUUUAUAUAAAAGAAGAGUUGUUUAUAGAGCCUUUUGUUAUCGUUAUCAUGUGUCAGUUGUAUCAUUGGCAUGAAUACUACUAAGAAAGAGUCCAUUAAACGUACGAGGAAAGAGUAUAACAUAGAGUUCUCAUAUUAAUAGUUUAUAUAAAAGAAGAGUUGUUUAUAGAGCCUUUUGUUAUCGUUAUCAUGUGUCAGUUGUAUUAGAUCGGCCCUAUCAGAAUUCAUAUCCAGUUCUUGCUGGUUUAGCGUCAGUAGAAGGGACAGAGAGAUUAUACAUAUACAUAGAGACAGAUAUACAGUACUACUAUUAUAUAUUACAUCUGCCCGGCCUGUGAGCUAGAGAGAUAUGUCCGGCCUGUGAGCUAGAGAGAUAUGUUCGGCCUAUGAGCUAGAGAGAUAUGCCCGGCCUAUGAGUCGGAGAUAUUUACUAUAUAUAUGCCCGGCCUAUGAGCUGGAGAGAUAUGCCCGAGCUAUGAGUCGGAGAGAUAUGCUCGGCCUAUGAGUCGGAGAGAUACACCAUAUAUAUGCCCGGCCUAUGAGUCAGAGAGAUAUAUUAUAUAUAUGCCCAGCCUAUGAGCCGGAGAUAUAUAUAUUAUAUAUAUGCCCAACCUAUGAGUUAGAGAGAUAUACUAUUAUUACACAGAGAUAUACACAGCCUCAUAAGGCCAUACAGAGAUAGUUAUGCUGUUAUAUUAUAUAAGAGAUGGGUUAGAGCAGGUAAGUGUAAUUCCAGAGUAUCGUUGAUUCUUAGUUGAUUUCAUAUAUCAGUUUUAGUUAUUCAGUUGCCUUACAUACUCAGUAUAUUAUUCGUACUGACGUUCCUUUUCCGUGGGGCACUGCAUUUGAUGCCUGCAGAUUCUGAUAGACAGACAGAGAGAGCUCCCCAGUAGAUAAUGCAGAGUAUCAGCUUGAUUGGUAAGCUCCACUUCAUCCGGAGUUACCAGGUCUAUAGUUAGUAUUGCUUUGUGUAUAUGGAGAUAAUGGGUAGGUCGGCGUCCUGUUCCGACCACAGUACAAUUUGAUCUUCUUAGAGGCUUGUAUCUUGUACAUUCAGUAUAUCAAAACAGUGGCCUUCUCGGCCCUUGCCUGUAUCUUGUUUUGGCUUUUGCUGUUUACAGAUAUACAUAGUGGCCUUGUCGGCCCGUUCAGAUAUGUAUAUAUAUUGAGAUGAUCCCAUUUGGAGAGAGGCUCAUCAUUUACAGAUUAUAGAGUUCGGCCUUGUCGGCCUGAGAUGUUAUGUUUUA